AACGAACGCUGGCGGCAUGCCUAACACAUGCCGGUCGAACGAGACCUUCGGGUCUAGUGGCGCACGGGUGCGUAACGCGUGGGAACCUGCCCUUAGGUUCGGAAUAACUCCCCGAAAGGGGUGCUAAUACCGGAUAAUGUCUUCGGACCAAAGAUUUAUCGCCUUUGGAUGGGCCCGCGUUGGAUUAGCUAGUUGGUAGGGUAAAAGCCUACCAAGGCGACGAUCCAUAGCUGGUCUGAGAGGAUGAUCAGCCACACUGGGACUGAGACACGGCCCAGACUCCUACGGGAGGCAGCAGUGGGGAAUAUUGGACAAUGGGCGAAAGCCUGAUCCAGCAAUGCCGCGUGAGUGAUGAAGGCCUUAGGGUUGUAAAGCUCUUUUACCCGGGAUGAUAAUGACAGUACCGGGAGAAUAAGCUCCGGCUAACUCCGU
rnacentral:rRNA from 1 species